ACCACCUCCAGCUUGUCAGAAGCAGUUAUGGAUUGGAUGUCUCGCACAAUAACCCCCUGUAUAUUUUGUCCAGGAACUGAAUUAACAACCGGUUGAAAAAAAGCCUGCGCCUUCCUGGAGCUAAAUAUAAUCAAUUAACACUAACUUCUGAAGCUGCAUGGUUUCAACAUGGUCAAGCAUCUAAUUAUCGACUGCAUACUAUAAAAAAGGUUCAAGGUGUAAGCUAUUGGCCAUCUGUCUAAUUAGUCCUCCAAACUCCAAAUAAUUAGAGGGCUGCAUAUUACCAGUAAGUUGUGGGGCCCAAAUUGUAAGUAAAAAGAAUAUGCAGAGUCCCUCCGAAAGGGUUUUGGUCUCUCCUCCUCCCUCUGGACACCACUGCUUCUUUAUCCCCUUGGACUAAGAGGCAGACUGGAUCCUGAAAUGUGAAGACUGGGAGGAAUGGAGAGAAUCCAUGCUGCUACUGCUGCUGUCACAGGCCCCCCACGGGCCUCAGACCCACAGAACACAUAACAGAACAAGAGCACUCCGCUGUCUGGGCCUCAGAUGCUUUACUGUCUGGAUGAAUGCCUCUAUGACUGAUGCCUGGCGUGAUGGGAAAACACCAUGCUGAUCAAGUAGGAACACAACCAGCCCUCUGCUCAGUCUCUCUUCACAGCAGCAUCCUUUCAACUCCAGUCAGGAGCCCCAGCGUACUGAAUAAGAUGAAGAGGAUAAUUUCAUAGUAUGUGAUAAUGAAGCAAAAGGAAAUGAAAUAACACAAACACUCAAACAAGCGGUAUAAUCAGUAUAAUUUUGUUGGUUUGAUGUUGGGGGGAUGUUGCCUAGUUUUGAGGCAGCUCUCCACAGAUGUUAGACGUGUGACAUGCUAAGAGAAAUAAUGUUCUUCUGGUAGUGUUUGAGUAGUCUUUGGAUUGACAUAGCCAGAUUAUAGGGCUGUGUUAGUGGCUUGGGUGUGUCUGCCUCAGUUGGGUUCGAUCCCCAAUGUCUGCAACCUAACCCGAAGGCUUUCUUGAGCAAGAUGUUGAGCAUCUUUUUUGACCUGAUCUAAAUUUGCCUGUUAGUCACUUUGGAUACAAGCUCAAUAAGUGAAUAUAUAGUCAAGUCAAGUCACCAAUGACUGGACGGAAUCAUCUUCUUUUUAUAUUACAGGGAAAUGACACAUGAUAAUUCUGUUUAUGUGUUACUAAAAUGUGGCGGGCACAGUUUAAUAAGGAACAUAUACUCACAUGAAGUCUUUAUGAAGUCAUUAAUUAAAAUGAUUUACUAUGCCCUUUAUGGUGGGUAGUGAUGAUGUAGAAAUAAAAUGAUGUGUAAAUAUUCAAAAGGAGAACUUAGUCCUCGGUUUACAGCGGCAGGUAAAAAAGGCACACAAACCCCAGGAACCGCUAGCGAUACUGGGCGAUAACACACACAAACAAUAUAAAUACUGCACAUCAAUAUACGUUUCAGAAGAUUGAUAGCAUUAGAUGCAAUGGUAAAUUUGACCAAUUCAAUGGCAUGAUUUUAUAACAACAGAGAGUAACGCAGUCCUGGGAUCUGCUGAUAAAGAGGUAGAUGACAUCUGUGCAUUAGAACGGCGAGGGUUUCGGUAAACAAGCUUGCUUGCAAAUAUUCAUGCAUUCACUGUGAGCGAUCUCAGGGCAGGUAUUACACGGGGCUGUCUGUGUGGUUAGUCAUCCUUCAAGCCACCCACCUAGUGUCUACCGGUGUAAAAAACAAAGAAAAGGGAUCUGAAAUGAGAAUCUGUUUCACUGACAGUAACUUCCCUAUAUUCCCAUGUAUAAACUCCAAUACACACAACUCUUUCCGGUAAAGUUGAUGGGGUAAUUACCAUGACAUGGAGACACACACAACGACCCACAAGGUAUAUUGUCUACUAACUCUUAGGCAGGCAUGCACCCACACACGCACACAGACACACACAUACUCACAGAUGAAGACAAACACACACACACACACACACACACACACACACACACACACACACACACACACACACACACACACGCACACACAAACACAUACACACACACACACACACACACACACAGACACACACACACACGCACACACACACACACACACACACACACACACACACACACACACACACACACACACACACACACACACACACACACACAC